UACGGAAGGUCCGGGCGUUAUCCGGAUUUAUUGGGUUUAAAGGGAGCGUAGGCCGGAGAUUAAGCGUGUUGUGAAAUGUAGAUGCUCAACAUCUGCACUGCAGCGCGAACUGGUUUCCUUGAGUACGCACAAAGUGGACGGAAUUCGUGGUGUAGCGGUGAAAUGCUUAGAUAUCACGAAGAACUCCGAUUGCGAAGGCAGCUCACUGGAGCGCAACUGACGCUGAAGCUCGAAAGUGCGGGUAUCGAACAGG
rnacentral:rRNA from 1 species